rnacentral:rRNA from 1 species
GCGAACCAGUACCGUGAGGGAAAGGUGAAAAGAACCCCGAGCAGGGGAGUGAAAUAGACCCUGAACCCGUCUGCCUACAAGCGGUCGGAGCGUCGUAAUGACGUGACGGCGUGCCUUUUGCAUAAUGAACCUACGAGUUACCUUCCCCGGCAAGGUUAAGUACCUAAGGUACGGAGCCGAAGCGAAAGCGAGUCUGAACAGGGCGCCAAGUCGGGGGGGGUAGACGCGAAACCGAGUGAUCUACCCUUGGCCAGGUUGAAGGUUGGGUAACACCAACUGGAGGACCGGAUGGGUAAGCGUUGAAAAGCUUUCCAAUGAGCUGAGGGUAGGGGUGAAAGGCUAAUCAAACUCGGAGAUAGCUCGUACUCCCCGAAAUGCAUUUAGGUGCAGCCUCUUUAUAGUAUAUCGUGAGGUAGAGCGACUGAUUGGAUGCGAGGGCUUCACCGCCUAUCAAGUCCAGAUAAACUCCGAAUGCGCGAUAUAUAUUUACAGGGAGUGAGGGCGCGGGUGCUAAGGUCCGUGUCCGAGAGGAGAAGAAUCCAGACCACCGGCUAAGGCCCCCAAAUGAUCGUUAAGUUGAACUAACGAGGUCGGAUCGCAGAGACAGCUAGGAUGUUGGCUUGGAAGCAGCCAUUCAUUUAAAGAGUGCGUAACAGCUCACUAGUCGAGCGAUCUGGCGUGGAUAAUAAUCGGGCAUAAACGAUCUGCCGAAGCCGUGGAUGUCGCAAGACAUGGUAGGGGAGCAUUCCAUGCCGCGUCGAAGAUGAGGGGUGACCCUUGUUGGAGCGCAUGGAAAAGCAAAUGUAGGUAUGAGUAACGAUAAGGGGGGCGAGAAACCCCCCCGCCGAAAGACCAAGGUUUCCUGAUCAACGCUAAUCGGAUCAGGGUGAGUCGGGACCUAAGGCAAAGCCGAACGGCGCCGCCGAUGGAAGAAUGGGUUAAUAUUCCCAUACUGCCUCAUGGAGUGACGUGGAGACGGAGAAGUGACAGUCCUGCCGGCUGACGGAAUAGCCGGUUGAAGGGUGUAGAUAUUGAUUCCCGUAGGCAAAUCCGCGGGGAGAGUCGAACCUGAGAGUAUACGGAGCGCUUGCGCAACGUAAUAUGGACGUAACCAUGCUCCCGAGAAAAUCCGCUAAACUUAUCCAUGCGGCACCCGUACCGUAAACGGACACACGUGGUCGGGUUGAGAAUACUGAGGCGCUCGAGUGAUUCACGGUUAAGGAACUAGGCAAAUUGACCCUGUAACUUCGGGAUAAAGGGUCCUCGUCGUAAGGCGAGGCGCAGAGAAUAGGUCCAGGCAACUGUUUAACAAAAACACAUGGCUGUGCUAAAUGGAAACAUGAUGUAUACAGCCUGACACCUGCCCGGUGCCGGAAGGUUAAGAGGAGAUGUCAUCCGCGAGGAGAAGCGUUGAAUUGAAGCCCCGGUAAACGGCGGCCGUAACUAUAACGGUCCUAAGGUAGCGAAAUUCCUUGUCGGGUAAGUUCCGACCUGCACGAAUGGUGUAAUGAUCUGGACACUGUCUCAACCGUGAGCUCGGUGAAAUUGUAGUAUCGGUGAAGAUGCCGAUUACCCGCGAUGGGACGAAAAGACCCCGUGAACCUUUACUAUAGCUUUACAUUGAGUUUGGGCAGACGAUGUGUAGGAUAGGCCGGAGGCAUUGAAGCAGGUACGCCAGUAUUUGUGGAGCCGACGUUGAAAUACGGCCCUUCGGUUGUUUGAGUUCUAACUCCUAGUUAGGAGGACACUGUAUGGUGGGUAGUUUGACUGGGGUGGUCGCCUCCAAAAGCGUAACGGAGGCUUCUAAAGGUGCCCUCAGACCGAUUGGUAACCGGUCGCAGAGUG